rnacentral:rRNA from 1 species
UGGGGAAUAUUGGACAAUGGGGGACCGUGCAUCCAGCCAUGCCGCGUGUGUGAAGAAGGCCUUAUGGUUGUAAAGCACUUUAAGCGAGGAGGAGGCUCUUUUGGUUAAUACCCAAGAUGAGUGGACGUUACUCGCAGAAUAAGCACCGGCUAACUCUGUGCCAGCAGCCGCGGUAAUACAGAGGGUGCGAGCGUUAAUCGGAUUUACUGGGCGUAAAGCGUGCGUAGGCGGCUUUUUAAGUCGGAUGUGAAAUCCCCGAGCUAACUUGGGAAUUGCAUUCGAUACUGGGAAGCUAGAGUAUGGGAGAGGAUGGUAGAAUUCCAGGUGUAGCGGUGAAAUGCGUAGAGAUCUUGGAGGAAUACCGAUGGCGAAGGCAGCCAUCUGGCCUAAUACUGACGCUGAGGUACGAAAGCAUGGGGAGCAAACA